GCAGUCGCCGCGGUAAUACAGAGGGUGCGAGCGUUAAUCGGAUUUACUGGGCGUAAAGCGUGCGUAGGCGGCUUCUUAAGUCGGAUGUGAAAUCCCUGAGCUUAACUUAGGAAUUGCAUUCGAUACUGGGAAGCUAGAGUAUGGGAGAGGAUGGUAGAAUUCCAGGUGUAGCGGUGAAAUGCGUAGAGAUCUGGAGGAAUACCGAUGGCGAAGGCAGCCAUCUGGCCUAAUACUGACGCUGAGGUACGAAAGCAUGGGGAGCAAACAGGAUUAGAUACCCCCGUAGUCCCUGUCUCUUAUAC
rnacentral:rRNA from 1 species